UUGAUUCAAUUUGACAAUUUGACAAUUUGACAAUUUGACAAUUUGACAAUUUGACAAUUUGACAAUUUAGUACUAAGUACUAUUUCCUUUUUGGGUAAAUUUGUGAAAAAAUUAAUGAUAUUAUUCUCGAGCAAAUGUGCUUCAAAGAAUGCAUUCGGAUCUUGAAUCUAACAGUUUAUUUUUUUAUUAUUUUGAUUUAAUUUUUGUUGACAUGUUAUCCGACAUACCCGGUACGAUUUACGAACCUUGCGACCAUGGCGUUCUACCUACCUGUGAUAUACAACCUUGCCUUGCGACGCACAAAGAAAGUGACAGUUUGCCGAUAACCUCGUCUCGUCGCGGUUAUGGCUUUGCUUUUCUAUGCAGACUUGAGCGUCGCGGUUUUAUGUGGCUGGAACAAUCGGGUUAAAAUUGCGUAGUUAAAUCGACCAAAAGGCAGUUGCGAACGUGGACCAAACCUCUUUAAUUCGACUCCGGCAAAAUAUGCUCAUCACUGAUUUUCCGCGGCGGCAGGUAGGCCACGGGCUAUGUUCCGGUGGCCAUGUCGAUGCGCAUGUCCCAGGAUGGCCAGCACCGCCACAGGCCGGCUUGGUUGCGGUUGGAGAUAGCUGCUUCAAGUUUCGCCAUCAACCAACUCAUCUUGUACUGCCGCGGCCAGAGAAAUGGAACCAAAUUGAUAGGUGUUAAAGUGUAAUUCUCGAGUUUUUUUUUGAUUAGGUCCUAUAAACAUAUGAAAGACAAUGGUUUAUUGGUCCUUUUCAAAAAAACUCUGGAAUUGUUUUUCGUGUAAAAUUGUGAAUAAAUUAUGGUUUUUUAAAAAUGAAAA